CACUCCUGCGGGAGGCAGCAGUGGGGAAUUUUGGACAAUGGGCGAAAGCCUGAUCCAGCAAUGCCGCGUGUGUGAAGAAGGCCUUCGGGUUGUAAAGCACUUUUGUCCGGAAAGAAAUCCUUGGCUCUAAUACAGUCGGGGGAUGACGGUACCGGAAGAAUAAGCACCGGCUAACUACGUGCCAGCAGCCGCGGUAAUACGUAGGGUGCGAGCGUUAAUCGGAAUUACUGGGCGUAAAGCGUGCGCAGGCGGUUUGCUAAGACCGAUGUGAAAUCCCCGGGCUCAACCUGGGAACUGCAUUGGUGACUGGCAGGCUAGAGUAUGGCAGAGGGGGGUAGAAUUCCACGUGUAGCAGUGAAAUGCGUAGAGAUGUGGAGGAAUACCGAUGGCGAAGGCAGCCCCCUGGGCCAAUACUGACGCUCAUGCACGAAAGCGUGGGGAGCAAACAGGAUUAGAAACCCCUGUAGUCC
rnacentral:rRNA from 1 species